CAUUUAUUUAGGAGAGCAAAGAGAAUAUGGCAAACAAGAAAAGAAGAACUCAUGCAUCAAUUUCCAUUUUCGUAUUCCCAUGGCAGCCUCCACUAAAUCAGCUUCUGUUUUGAAGGAGAAAACUGAGCUUGAAGUUGUGUCAGUCAUGCUGAAUGUGUGAAUGGAGGGAUACGGGUUUGAUGAGUUUGGAGUUGGAGUUUUGGUCAAGUUAGGAGCUCAAUUGCAGCAUGUUCAUCAUCCAAAGCUCCAUUGAUGCAAGGUGUAGUUUAGUAGCGUUUGACAGAUAGCAGGUUCGGAUUGACGGCUUAAAGUGGUGAUGGCUCGGAGACCUCGUCAGAUCUCAUUUUCCGCUGUGCAGAUCCAUUGAAGACACAUGUGUUGUAAUUCUUAGUAGAAUUUCAUGUUGUAUUUUAUAUGGAUCUCUCUAUAUCUAUAGCUUUUGUAUGUACUCAAUAUCAAUUUUAACGUUUCAUGCAUAAUAUACUAGUCAGUUAUGUAUGGGGUGUUACAGCACAAUCAUUAUGUCAAGAUUUCGUGAUUUUGGUUUUAAUCUAUUCGAAGCGAGUUUUCAAGGAAGACAUUAUCUGAUAAUUAUUCAGGUUUAUUUCUCAUAUUUACGUGCGGUGUGGACCAUCUCUUUAUUUGAAAUUCAUGGUUGUCAAAGUUAUCGCUUAAUUCGGAGAUUGCUUGAAUUUGAAGAAAAGGGCAAAAUUGGAAUACAAGAAAACAUUUCAUUCAUUGGAAAUUUAAAGUUACAUUAUGAAUCAUUUGAGAUACAAGCCG